rnacentral:rRNA from 1 species
GACGAACGCUGGCGGCGUGCUUAACACAUGCAAGUCGAACGGAGCACCCCUGACGGAGUUUUCGGACAACUGAAGGGAAUGCUUAGUGGCGGACUGGUGAGUAACGCGUGAGGAACCUGCCUUUCAGAGGGGGACAACAGUUGGAAACGACUGCUAAUACCGCAUGAUGCAUGACCGGGGCAUCCCGGACAUGCCAAAGAUUUAUCGCUGAAAGAUGGCCUCGCGUCUGAUUAGCUAGUUGGUGAGGUAACGGCUCACCAAGGCGACGAUCCGUAGCUGGUUUGAGAGGACGACCAGCCACACUGGGACUGAGACACGGCCCAG